AGCGAGGCUAGAGUCAGGGCCUGGACACUGACCCCUUGUCCAGGUGUUCUCAAGUCCUUGCAGAGCAAAAUGUCUGUGCUUUUUCAUUGGCUGUAGUCUGUUGUGACUUAGUCAAUCAGCAGCUCAGACACACUC